CAGCUGCCUGGGCGCACGCUGAUCCAGCCAUGCCGCGUGAGUGAAGAAGGCCUUCGGGUUGUAAAGCUCUUUAAGAGGGGAGGAAGGAAGGGUGUAAAAGUGAACUGGGAAACAGAAGAGGCAGGGGGAACCGGAUUAAAGGAACCCCCU
rnacentral:rRNA from 1 species